rnacentral:lncRNA from 1 species
GAAAUUAUAUGAGAAAUCCUUUCUUCUGCUGAUGCCAAUAUCCAGCACGGGAAACUCUCUGCCAAAGUCACUUCUCACGGCCUUUCCCCUCUCCAUCUAACUUUCUUCCUCUAGAAGACCAUUAGAGCUAGUAUCACUCACCAUAGGCUCAACCUCCAUCACCGAUAUCCCCCUAAAAUCCACCUCUGUAUGCUGUUGUCAAACCGCAAGCAUUACCUCCGCUGCAUCUAAUUUAGAUUUCAUCUUUGGAUCACCUUCUAACAUCUCUUCCGCUGCCUUCAAUAUUCAUCCAUGGCUGGAGCAUCUGUAUCAUUUGGUAAUCAGAGCAAGGUUACGCUCCAAAUAAGUUCAUUCCCUUGAUUCCAAACUGUCAAUCAAUUCCGCACUGUCAUAGCUUCAUGCGUGUACUGUUUGAUUGAUUUUUGUUCUGUUUUUCUAUGUAAGUGAAUGUUUGAUUUGUUCACAAUCAAUAAAUGCUAGUUUUAUCAUUUUAAUCGGUGCCUUCUCUUGUUUGAAGUCUCAUCCUAUCGUUUAAUCAUUUUCCAGUCGUGUUGAGUCAUGUGCAACGUUGUUGUUGUUUUAAAAUUGUCAAUCAGUUUUUUGACUUUGUUUCAGCGUGAAUAUUUUUUAUUUUAAUUGUGUUGAGCAUUAGCUAAUUCUAUGUUGAUCAUAUAAGGCAAUGGAGUUUCAUCCAGCCUUGAUCAUUUGAAUAAAAGCGAUGCCAAUAGUGUUUUCAGCAGCAGAUCUGUACUGCAACUCUGUUUUUAACAUGUUUUUUUUUGCUGGUUUUUACUGAUGCACGUUACUGUAUCCAGAUUUAAUGGUUGAACACCUUUUCCAAAUCUGUUUGAUGAUGCUACAAGUAUCUAAAGAUAUUACAACAUCUAUUCAUCACAUAUUUUCUAUUUGAGUAGUUAAAUUACUCAAAAUCUGGAUUAAGAAUGUGUUGUUGUCAUUGUUAUAACCUAUAGCUUGGCACCGUGCUAAUUGUCCUUGGUUGUGUCAUAGGAUCUCUAAAAUCCACUAGCUUGAUUUUCUCAAGCUAGAUCUUGAGUUAGGAUUCAUUAUUUUACCAAAUUGUUGGUCUGAAAACUUUGCAUCCACCAAAACUUACUGUACCGUUCUGCAUUUUAUUGAUUUCUGCAUAAUUUGGCAACUCAAGUGGUGAAAUUGUGCAUCUACUAUUUUCUGUGCAUUGAACACAUUUGGACAACUUUAUUUGACCAUUUAAAAUGUGUCUACAUUGUUUUUCUGGUCAUUCUUCCAACAAUGCACAAAAUCAUCAUGCCACUUCCCAAUUUUGAGUAAAUUUCUCAACUAGUGCAGUCAUAAUCUAAAUUCAAUUGUGUUUCCACUGUUUUCUUGAUUGAACACUCAUAUAAAGUGAAUUCAAAUGUGUCUUCACUGUUCAUAUGGUCAAAUAUGCACUUAUUCAUAGAAAAACCAAUUAAACCACUAGAUUUUGACCAAUUUUGGAAGUGUAGCAGUGGAAUUCUGUUGUGAUUAAUUUCUUGGCUGCAUAAAUGAUUGUACAUUAUCCUUUUCAUCAUAUAAACAUGCUAGAAAUCAUAAAACAUAGAAUAUUACAGUAGCCUUGCUGUUUUCAAAAUUUCCAGCCAUCAAAAAUAGUGCAUACAACUUUGAUAUGCAGUUUAACUUGAGUUGAGUCUUGAUUGGAGUGUUUGGGAUUGGCAAGAGCUGGGAUAACUUUUCUCUAUUCUUUUACUACCAUUGUACCUUGCAAGUAAAUAUUAAAAAGCUAAUCAUCCCUGCAAUCCCUAUUGAACCCGUAACAGCAAAGGCAGAAAACUCAAUUUCUGCAUUCUUUGAGUCAUUUCAUCGAACAGUUUGCCAAAUUUUGUGAAAUCAUCAUCAAUUCGUUAAACUGCAACAUGUUUUUUUUUUCUUGCUUUUUAAAUCCAAUCUAGAGCAUGUCUUAAGUUCCUUUUGAGUGCUACCUUUGUUCAUAGCCUUAAUUGCUAGUUUUUCAUUGUUUGAAAUUCCUGCACUGAAACUGUUUGAUCAAAUGACAGCAGUGCAACCUGGUUGUGAUAUUUUGAUUAAUAGUAGUAUCGGUGAUGGAGGUUGAGCCUAUGGUGAGUGAUACUAGCUCUGACGGUCUUCUAGAGGAAGAAAGCUAGAUGGAGAGGGGAAAGGCCGUGAGAAGUGACUUUGGCAGAGAGUUUCCCGUACUGGAUAUUGGAAUCAGCAUAAGAAAGGAUUUCUCAUAUAAUUUCCAAAGUGAUUUACAGUGAGAAUUGCCAUGGAUUUAUAGAAUCAUCCAUCAAGCUACAGCGUGGCAAUGAUGGCCGUAAUAUGUGGAUCUAAUGCCACGUGUAGAUCAAAGAAAUGUGUUGUGUGUGUUCUAGAAUAAGCACGUAAUACAUGUGUUGAAAAAGAAGUCUUCAUGUGUUUCCAAGUUGCAACCCCUUCAUUACUAAUCUCACCCCCUUCCUUUGUGGAAAUGACUCUUUUACCCUUCUCCUUGGGUUGGGUUGUUGGUCUUUAUUUAUUGGGCUUGGGCCCCGCGUAUCACUCUUGGACAGGCAUGGGAUAGAUUUAAAGGCUUGUUGAGAAAGACCCCAGUCCAUGGGUUUGAUAAGACCUCAUAUUUACUUGCUUUCCUUGGAGGCCUACGCACUCAGUCUAAGAUGAUGUUAGAUGCUGCAACUGGAGGCAGUAUAAACAGAAAGACUGAGGAUGAAGCUUAUGAUUUGAUAGAAAUUAUGGCUGACAAUGAAGAAACACAUGGUGUAUACGUUGAUGAUGUUAAAGAAUUUUCGAUGAUACAAAAUAAUAUAAUCGCACAGCAGUGGGAGAAAGUGACAAGAACACUUGCUGAUUUAUCACAGGCAGUUAUAGAAGCUUCAUUUGCCGCACAAAAGCUUCCUUUCACACCUAUUCAGAGAAGUGCAGAAUCUGAAGAAACUUUCCAGAGAAUUAUGAAGAGAAGUGUAUUUGUUGUUGAUUGCGUGGAGAAAAGUAAAGGGGAAGAAGCAUGUGAGAUUGUUACUAGAAGCGGGAGAAUUUUAAAAGAAAGAGAGGUUGAGAAAAAAGAAAAAGAAAAAGAAAGUGUCGAAGAAAAUAAUGGUCAAAGGGAGGAGUGUGAGAUAGAGAAAAAUAUGAUGAACAAGAAGCAGGAAGAGGAAGCUGAAAAAUUUAAAGAGAAGGAGUAUGAAAACCCACUGUUGUACCCGAAAAUAUAUUCCAGAAAAGAGAAAGAGAAAUAAUUCGAGCGUUUUAUGGAGAUUUUCAAGAAAUUGGAAAUAACUAUGCCAUUCUCGGAGGCACUCCAGCAAAUACCAUCUUAUUCAAAGUUUUUGAAAGAAAUCAUUACGAAAAAAAGAAAGUAUGCUAAAAAAGAAACAAUUGAGGUAGAAGGGAAUUGCAGCGCUAUCAUCCAAAGGUCAUUACCUCCUAAAUUACCUGAUCCAGGGAGUUUCACUAUUCCUUGUACUAUUGGAGAGUUAGAGGUUGGGAAAGCUUUGAUUGAUCUAGGAGCUAGUAUAAAUUUGAUGCCUCUUUCCAUGUUCAAAAAGAUAAAAGGGUUAGAGAUCAAACAAACAAGAAUGGUUCUUCAAUUAGCAGACAAAUCCCUCAACUACCCUUAUGGAAUUGCUGAAGAUGUGAUAGUUAAGGUUGAUAAAUUUGUAUUUCCAGUAGACUUUGUUAUUAUGGAGAUGGAAGAAAAUGGAGAUGCACCUUUGAUUCUCGGACGACCCUUCAUGAAAAAUGCCAGAAUUGUCAUUGAUGUUGAAAAGGGGAAGCUUAAAGUCCAGGUACAAGAUGAAGAGGUGAACUUUGAUGUGUUUCAAGCAAUGUCACAUCCCAAAGAUGAUAAGUCAUGCUUUCAGAUCGAUAUUGUGGAAGAACUCUGUAUGAAGCAAGGAAAUAGAGUUCGUAACGCAUCCAUGUUAAAAAGGACUUUGAUCAACGAAUGUGAGGAUUUGAACGAAGAGGAGGAUAAAAUGCAGUAGAAAUGUGUUCAGGAAUUGGAAACAGGAAAAGAAGUUCCAGCAGAAAAAUUCCUUUUUGAACAGAUGGAGCUUAAAGAAAAAAUUCCAAAAGGUAAGGUUGAACUGAAGGAGUUGCCAUCACAUUUGAAAUAUGUGUUUUUGGAAGAUAAUGCAAGAAAGCCAGUCAUUAUUAGUACUUCAUUAUCUCCGGAAGAAGAAGGAAAGUUGGUGGGGGUUCUAAAAGCAAAUAAAGGUGCCAUAGGCUGGUCAAUUGUUGAUCUCAAAGGUAUAAGUCCAACUUAUUGUAUGCAUAGAAUUUUGAUUGAAGAUGAUUAUAAGCCUGUAGCUCAACCACAAAGGAGACUUUAUCCUGUCAUGAAAGAAGUUGUGAGAAAGGAGGUUUUGAAGCUGUUAGAAGCAGGAAUUAUUUAUCCUAUUUCUGAUAGCCAAUGGGUGAGUCCAGUUCAAGUCGUACCAAAGAAAGGAGGGAUGACUGUCAUUCAUAAUGAAAAGAAUGAGCUUAUUCCUACAAGGACAGUCACUGGGUGGCGGAUGUGCAUUGACUACAGGAGAUUAAAUACAGCCACCCGGAAAGAUCAUUUUCCCUUACCUUUUUUGGAUCAAAUGUUAGAAAGAUUGGUUGGACAAGCUUAUUAUUGCUUUCUUGAUGGAUAUUCUGGAUAUAACCAAAUAAUGGUGGACCCUGAAGAUCAAGAGAAAACAACUUUUACAUGUCCAUUUGGUAUAUUUGCAUACAAAAAGAUGUCGUUUGGGUUGUGUAAUGUUCCAGCCACAUUUCAGAGGUGUAUGCAAGCAAUCUUUGCUGAAUUCAUGGAAAAGAGCAUCGAAGUCUUCAUGGACGAUUUUUCAGUUUUUGGGGAUACCUUUCAAAGAUGUUUGACCAACUUGGAUGUUGAUGAAGGUUGAACAACAAUUAUUUUCAUAUGUCAUUUUAGACCUAAUUACGCCCUUUGCUACAUAGAAUGAACCUAGAAUCAAGCAAAACUCAAUAAAUGAGUUUGUAGAGAGUCAAAAGUUGUUUUUAGCGAUAUUAUGCUUGUUUUGCAUUGUUUUGUAGCUAUUUUGAGGGAGUAAAGAAUGAAGCUGAAGAUAAAGGUCGUAGACUCACGAAAAGAGAAGAAAAUUGAAGAUUUGAAGAGUCGACGAGGAGUAGACACUGGCCUUGGUGCUGGGUGAUUUGGAGGCUUUUGAGAAACCGCUGGGCGGCGGCGAUUACCACCGGAUGGUUUGGAGGCUUUUGGGAAACCGCCAGACGCCACACUGAAACCACCGGGCGGUGGUCCGCUGGACUUGGGCCUCUUUUCUGUUGCGCUCCUCACCUAUAAAUACCCCUAUUUCGAGUUCAGAGUCAUUCUUUUGACAGGGGAGAAUGACCAGACCUAAUUUUGCUCUUUGGAGAGGAUCUCUUGGAUGCUAGGUUCUUUUUCAUCUUUUCUAGGGUUUGCAUUUCCAUUCAUCUUCCAUUUUUCAUCUAGUUUCACCAUGUCUAUGGUGAACUAAACCCUAUUGUUGUUGGGGGAAACAAUGUAAUCUUUUGAUACUCUCUUUUAUUGAAACUCUGGAUUAUUUAUAUGGUUUCCAUAUGUUUGAUUGUUAAUUGUUGGGUUCUCAUCUGUGCUUAAUGCCUUUAUCGUUUAACUCAUUCGAUACGGGGACGUAUAGUAAUGUCAUGAACUGGUGAGUAAUUCCUUGAUUUUGCAAUACCACCUAGGGAUAGGGGUAGGACGAUCAAUUGCGUUUAACUUCUGCUCUAUAAUGCUGUAUUAAUUGCUAGAGGAGGCUAGGGAUAGCAACCCAGUAGUUAAUAUUAGGCUCUUUUUGCCGAGGGAUCGGGUUAAGGGUAGGCUAAGAAAGUUGCGUGACAACCAAUUAAUCAAACUAAUAAUUCAAGAGGAGUAAAUAAGUGAGAGUGGAUUAGAUGAAAUUGUAAACCCCCAACAACUCCAUUCAUUCAUUGUUUUCUUUUGUCAAUUGAAUCAUUCUCUUUUGCAUGUUAAUAUUUUUGUUCUCAAAUCAAAUUAAUUAUUUUUAUUUUCAAGUCUUAUUAUUUUAAUUCACGCGAACGAGAAAGCCUUUCGAGUCUCUUGGGAAAACGAUACUUGGUCUUACCAUUUUUAUUACUUGAACGAUUUGGUACGCUUGCCAAUUCGUUAACAGAUGCCGUUCUCAAACGAUGUGUUCAAACAAAUCUUGUUCUGAAUUGGGAGAAAUGUCAUUUCAUGGUUACAGAAGGUAUUGUGUUGGGCCACAAAAUUUCUGCCGAGGGGAUUGAAGUUGAUAAGGCAAAGGUUGAGGUGAUUGAAAAACUCCCACCACCAACGAAUGUGAAAGGAUUUCGGAGUUUCCUUGGUCAUGCCGGAUUUUAUCGACGAUUUAUUAAGGAUUUUUCAAAGAUUGCAAAGCCUUUAAGUAAUUUUCUUGUUAAAGAGACACCAUUUGUGAUGAGUCCUGAAUGUUUGCAAGCUUUUGAUAUUUUGAAGAAGAGAUUGAUUUCUGCUCCUGUGAUCGUGGCUCCAGAUUGGGAUAAAGAGUUUGAACUUAUGUGCGAUGCUAGUGACUAUGCCAUAGGCGCUGUGUUGGGACAGAGAAGAGAAAAGGUAUUUCAUGCUAUUUACUAUGCUAGUAAAGUGUUGAAUGAAGCUCAACUGAAUUAUGCUACUACUGAAAAAGAAUUUUUGGCCAUAGUUUAUUCCCUGGAGAAAUUUAGAUCUUAUUUCAUUGGACCUAAAGUGAUCAUUUAUACGGAUCAUGCGGCUAUAAAGUAUUUACUGACAAAACCUGAUUCGAAGCCUCGAUUGAUUAGAUGGGUGCUUCUGCUACAAGAAUUUGACAUCGAGAUUCGUGACAAAAAGGGAAGUGAAAAUGUUGUUGCUGGUCAUUUAUCCCGGUUAGUCAAUGAUGAAGUAACAAGCAAGGAGAAAAAAAUCUGGGAAUCAUUUUUAGAUGAAACUCUUUUAUAUAUUCAGCAAAGACCCUGGUUUGGUGAUUUAGCUAACUUCAAACCGCAAGUGUUAUUCGUGAAGGAUUUAACUGGCAACAGAAAAAGAAGUUUUUACAUGAUGCCGAACAAUUCAUUUGGGAUGAUCCAUAUUUGUUCAAGAUAGGAGCAGACAAUCUUUUAAGGAGAUGUGUAACUAGAGCAGAAGCAGAAGAUAUUUUGUGGCAUUGUCACAAUUCUCCUUACGCAGGUCAUUAUAAUGGAGAAUGCACUGCCGCAAAAGUUCUACAAGCAGGAUUUUAUUGGCUGACUUUGUUUAAAGAUGUCCAUAAUCAUGCUCGGAGCUGCGACAAUUGCCAAAGGACAGGGACUAUCUCAAGGAGGCAUGAGAUGCCAUUGCUGGGCAUUCUGGAAGUUGAAGUUUUUGACUGUUGGGGUAUUGACUUUGUGGGACCAUUUCCUCCGUCAUUUAAUAAUGAAUAUAUUUUGGUAGCUGUUGAUUAUGUGAGUAAGUGGGUUGAAGCUUUAGCAUGUCCUAAGAAUGAUUCUAACACGGUGAUCAAAUUCCUAAAAAGACAAAUCUUUUCACGUUUUGGAACUCCCAGGGUUCUCAUCAGUGAUGGGGGAUCUCACUUUUGUAAUGCUCAGCUAGCUAAGGUACUUAAACAUUAUGGGGUAAAAUAUAAGGUGAUUGCACCUUAUCAUCCACAGACAAAUGGCCAAGCUGAAGUUUCUAACAGGGAAAUCAAAAGAAUUUUAGAAAAGACUGUCACUUUUUCAAGAAAAGAGUGGUCACAGAAGUUAGACGAUGUUCUCUGGGCAUAUAGAACUGCCAUGAAAACUUCUAUGGGGUUAUCGCCUUUUCAGUUGGUCUAUGGAAAAGCAUGUCAUUUGCCAGUUGAGAUGGAGCAUAAAGCUUUGUGGGCUUUGAAGUUUUUGAAUCUUGAUCCUAAUAAUGCUUAAAGCAAACGAAGCAACCAGCUACUUGAACUUGAAGAAAUGCGGCUGCAUGCCUAUGAUUCAUCCAGGACUUACAAGGAUAAGGUGAAAUUUUAUCAUGACACGAAUCUGAUUAAGAGAACUUUCCAUCCAGGGGAUUUGGUUUUAUUAUUCAACUCACGGCUAAAGCUGUUCCCCGGGAAGCUGAAAUCAAAAUGGUCGGGACCUUUUGUGGUGAAACGUGUAUUCCAAAAUGGAGUAGUGGAAUUAGAGCAUUCAAUUGAUGAUGAUCAACAGCGGAGCUGGAUAGUGAAUGGCCAAAGGCUCAAACACUAUAUGGGAGGAGAUGUCGAGCAAUUCGCCUCAGUAAUGAUGUUGGUGAACCCUUGAGGUUUGGGUCAGGCUUGUGACAUUAAACAAGUGCUACUAGGAGGCAACCUAGAUUCUCUCUCUUUUGUUUUUGCAUUUUGAAUUUUUAGAAUAGGUUAAAUUUUAUUUUUAGUGUGUAUGUUUGGCCUAAAUACUUUUCUGACAAUGUUUGAUUGACUAAUUUGCAUGAUGAGCUUAUUUGAUGAUGACUUGAUGUGGAUGAUAAUUGAGUUUUGUUUCAUGUUGAUAUUCAGUGAAACAGAUGUAUAGUAAAUAAUGAUUGUGGUUAUGAUGCUAAGCAGGGUGUAUGUAUGAAUAUUAUUGUGUGAGAAAGCAUGUUGUGUGAGGUAUUGAGCUCUAGAGUUCUUAUUAUUAUAUGUAUUGUUCACAGGAAAACAUGAAUGAUAUUGCCUGAAUUUUGAUGAUUGAAUGAAUUGCAUGUGAAUGUCAUAUGAUCAAGGCCAUUUUUGAAAACCCUUCUCUAGCCAAAUUUUCACCCACAAUGCUUGAAAUAUUAUACCCUUUUUGAACCUUAGCCUUAAAUAGGAUGUGAACCCUUGAUUUGAAAUUCUUUACCUUGAGUUGGGUUGAGCUUAACUGUAUGUGUUGAAAAGGUUCAAGUUUGGGGUUGUAUGAGGGAAAUUAAAAGGCAAUUGAAAAGCAUUGAGCUCAAAUGUUGAGAAAGAAAAAUGCAUGAGAAAAGAAAAGAAAAGAGAAAAGCUUGAAGAUGAGCUCAAUGUAAAAAUAAAAGAAAAGGGAAGAAGUUGGGAAAUAAGUGAGAUUGGUGAGGAAGAGAGUUGUGCUUAAAUGUUGAAUAUUAUGGUAGCUCUCUUAACGGAAGGAUUUUGCUUUCCAGAAAAACCAAUUUUUCUUGUUAAGCCAACCCCAUUACAAGCCUUGGAAAAGUCCUUUUGAUGACAUUUGCAUGUGAUGAUUUUGAUUGUUUGAAAUGAAUGGCAAUUUUAUUUCAUGUGACUUGUGAAUGAUAGAGAGUUGGAGUGACACCCUAAACACUUGAAUGAUUGACUGAAACACUUGCUUGGAGAGAUUUGUUAAUUUUCAUGAGUGCAUUCUUGCUUAGUGGAUUGGUCAUUCAUAAUGUGUAACAACUGUUGUGAAAUCUGUGGACUGAACUGGAUUGAAAGCAUGCAUGCAUCUUGAUUUAGCUUCACUAAAGGUUUGAAAUUGAGUAGCUUUUGUCACGUACCUUAGGAGUGUUGAAUCAUUGGAUGAAAUAGUAGAAAGCCAAGCUCUGUUUUGUUUGCUGUUUUGUUUUGUUUGCUUGAGGACAAGCAAAGUUCUAAGUUUGGGGUUGUGAUAACGGUUGAAAAAAAGUUAUUUUCAUAUUCAUUUUAGACCAAAUUACUCCCCUUAUUGCAUAGAAUGAGCUUAGAAUCAAGCAAAACUCAAUAAAUGAGUCAGUUGAGAGUCAAAAGCUGUGUUUAGUGAUAUUAUGCUUGUUUUGCGUUAUUUUGCAGCUAUUCUGAUGAAAGUGAAGAUUGGAGUUGGAGAUGAAGGUCUUAGACUCAAGACAGAGGAGGAAAACUGAAGAAAAGAAGAGUUUAGGAACCGCCCAGUGGAAAAAUGCACUGCUGGGCGGUCCAAAGCGAGGAGGUGGCACCAGGCGUGGACGCUGGGCGGAUUUGCGAUUAGAGGCAAACCGUCGGGCGGUAAGUGUGACGCUGGGCGGUUGUCUGCUGGGCUUGGGCCUGUUUUCCGUGACACUCCUCAGCUAUAAAUAACCCUGUUGCAACUUCAAUCUCAUUCUUUUGACAGAAGAGGGCGGCCAUACCUAAUUUCACUCUCUAGAGAGGAUCUCUUGGAUGCUUAGGCUCCUUUUCAUCUUAUCUAGGGUUUGAAAUUCCAUUCUUCAUUCAUUUCUGAUCUAGGUUCAGCAUGACAAUGUUGAACUAAACCCUUUUGUUUUUG